AAGUUUUCGGAUGGAAUCUUGAUUGACUGAGUGGCGGACGGGUGAGUAACGCGUGGAUAACCUGCCUCACACUGGGGGAUAACAGUUAGAAAUGACUGCUAAUACCGCAUAAGCGCACAGUGCCGCAUGGCAGUGUGUGAAAAACUCCGGUGGUGUGAGAUGGAUCCGCGUCUGAUUAGGCAGUUGGCGGGGUAACGGCCCACCAAACCGACGAUCAGUAGCCGGCCUGAGAGGGCGACCGGCCACAUUGGGACUGAGACACGGCCCAAACUCCUACGGGAGGCAGCAGUGGGGAAUAUUGCACAAUGGGGGAAACCCUGAUGCAGCGACGCCGCGUGAGCGAAGAAGUAUUUCGGUAUGUAAAGCUCUAUCAGCAGGGAAGAUAAUGACGGUACCUGACUAAGAAGCCCCGGCUAACUACGUGCCAGCAGCCGCGGUAAUACGUAGGGGGCAAGCGUUAUCCGGAUUUACUGGGUGUAAAGGGAGCGUAGACGGCAAGGCAAGUCUGAUGUGAAAACCCAGGGCUUAACCCUGGGACUGCAUUGGAAACUGUCUGGCUCGAGUGCCGGAGAGGUAAGCGGAAUUCCUAGUGUAGCGGUGAAAUGCGUAGAUAUUAGGAAGAACACCAGUGGCGAAGG
rnacentral:rRNA from 1 species